rnacentral:rRNA from 1 species
CAAGUCGAACGGGAAUCUUCGGAUUCUAGUGGCGGACGGGUGAGUAACGCGUAAGAAUCUAACUUCAGGACGGGGACAACAGUUGGAAACGACUGCUAAUACCCGAUAUGCCGCGAGGUGAAACCUAAUUGGCCUGAAGAAGAGCUUGCGUCUGAUUAGCUAGUUGGUGGGGUAAGAGCCUACCAAGGCGACGAUCAGUAGCUGGUCUGAGAGGAUGAGCAGCCACACUGGGACUGAGACACGGCCCAGACUCCUACGGGAGGCAGCAGUGGGGAAUUUUCCGCAAUGGGCGAAAGCCUGACGGAGCAACGCCGCGUGAGGGAGGAAGGUCUUUGGAUUGUAAACCUCUUUUCUCAAGGAAGAAGUUCUGACGGUACUUGAGGAAUCAGCCUCGGCUAACUCCGUGCCAGCAGCCGCGGUAAUACGGGGGAGGCAAGCGUUAUCCGGAAUUAUUGGGCGUAAAGCGUCCGCAGGUGGUCAGCCAAGUCUGCUGUCAAAUCAGGUUGCUUAACGACCUAAAGGCGGUGGAAACUGGCAGACUAGAGAGCAGUAGGGGUAGCAGGAAUUCCCAGUGUAGCGGUGAAAUGCGUAGAGAUUGGGAAGAACAUCGGUGGCGAAAGCGUGCUACUGGGCUGUAUCUGACACUCAGGGACGAAAGCUAGGGGAGCGAAAGGGAUUAGAUACCCCUGUAGUCCUAGCCGUAAACGAUGGAUACUAGGCGUGGCUUGUAUCGACCCGAGCCGUGCCGAAGCUAACGCGUUAAGUAUCCCGCCUGGGGAGUAUGCACGCAAGUGUGAAACUCAAAGGAAUUGACGG